UGGGGAAUCUUCCGCAAUGGGCGCAAGCCUGACGGAGCAACGCCGCGUGAGUGAAGAAGGGUUUCGACUCGUAAAGCUCUGUUGUCGGGGACGAAUGUGGAGAUGGUGAAUAACCAUUUCCAAUGACGGUACCUGACGAGGAAGCCACGGCUAACUACGUGCCAGCAGCCGCGGUAAUACGUAGGUGGCAAGCGUUGUCCGGAAUUAUUGGGCGUAAAGCGCGCGCAGGCGGCUUCUUAAGUCCAUCUUAAAAGUGCGGGGCUUAACCCCGUGAUGGGAUGGAAACUGAGAGGCUGGAGUAUCGGAGAGGAAAGUGGAAUUCCUAGUGUAGCGGUGAAACGCGUAGAGAUUAGGAAGAACACCGGUGCGAAGGCGACUUUCUGGACGACAACUGACGCUGAGGCGCGAAAGCGUGGGGAGCAAACAGGAUUAGAUACCCUGGUAGU
rnacentral:rRNA from 1 species